rnacentral:rRNA from 1 species
ACUGAAUAGAUACCCUGGUAGUCCACGCUGUAAACGCUGCUCACUAGGUCUUGGGAGGUAUCGACCCCUCUUUGGACCGUAGCUAACGCGUUAAGUGAGCCGCCUGGGGAGUACGAACGCAAGUUUAAAACUCAAAGGAAUUGACGGGGACCCGCACAAGUGGUGGAGCGUGUGGUUUAAUUCGAUAGUAAGCGAAGAACCUUACCAAGGCUUGACAUCCCGAGAAAGCGCUGGAAACAGUGCCGUGCCGCAAGGAACUCGGUGACAGGUGUUGCAUGGUUGUCGUCAGCUCGUGCUGUGAAGUGUCCCGUUCAGUCGGUUAACGAGCGCAACCCCUAUCCUGUGUUACACUUCUCACAGGAAACUGCCCGGGUUAACCGGGAGGAAGGUGGGGAUGAUGUCAAAUCAGCAUGGCCCUUACGCCUUGGGGCUACACACGCGCUACAAUGGGUAGGCACAAUGGGUCGCUAAGCCGCGAGGCGGAGCUAAUCCUAACAAAACUACCCUCAGUUCGGAUUGGAGGCUGCAACUCGCCUCCAUGAAGCCGGAAUC